rnacentral:tRNA from 1 species
GUAUAGCUCAGUGGUAGAGCGUGCACUUACCAUGCACGAGGUCCUGGGUUCAAUCCCCAGCAC